CGGAGGAUGCGAGCGUUAUUCGGAAUCAUUGGGUUUAAAGGGUCUGUAGGCGGGCUAUUAAGUCAGGGGUGAAGGUUUCAGCUUAACUGAGAAUUGCCUUUGAUACUGGUAGUCUUGAAUAUCUGUGAAGUUCUUGGAAUGUGUAGUGUAGCGGUGAAAUGCUUAGAUAUUACACAGAACACCGAUUGCGAAGGCAGGGGACUAACAGACAAUUGACGCUGAGAGACGAAAGCGUGGGGGAGCGAACAGGAUU
rnacentral:rRNA from 1 species